rnacentral:rRNA from 1 species
GACGAACGCUGGCGGCGUGCCUAAUACAUGCAAGUCGAACGAACCGCGACUAGGUGCUUGCACUUGGUCAAGGUGAGUGGCGAACGGGUGAGUAACACGUGGGUAACCUACCUCAUAGUGGGGGAUAACAGUCGGAAACGACUGCUAAUACCGCAUAGGACAUAGGAUCACAUGAUUCUGUGAGGAAAGGUGGCGCAAGCUAUCGCUAAGAGAUGGACCCGCGGUGCAUUAGCUAGUUGGUAGGGUAAAGGCCUACCAAGGCGAUGAUGCAUAGCCGACCUGAGAGGGUGAUCGGCCACAUUGGGACUGAGACACGGCCCAAACUCCUACGGGAGGCAGCAGUAGGGAAUCUUCCGCAAUGGACGCAAGUCUGACGGAGCAACGCCGCGUGAGUGAAGAAGGUCUUCGGAUCGUAAAGCUCUGUUGUUAGAGAAGAACAGCGCAUAGAGUAACUGUUAUGCGUGUGACGGUAGCUAAACAGAAAGCCACGGCUAACUACGUG